UAGAUUCCUAAGAGUCAUCUUUGGAUUUA
rnacentral:piRNA from 1 species